GGUAAAUUGUAUUCUGUGUGAGAAGCUUUAAACGUGAGCGUAAUGGAAAGGGGAUAUUCCAUAAAACAAAGGCACACCUCCAGAAACAACAAAGACAAACACUCAGCUGCAGAGGAUUUGCUGACUCAGAGCUCUGCAAAACCUACCUGAUCAAGCACCAUCCUUAUCCAGCUCAGAAAAAAAGGAGUGAUCAGUUCCACUCAAGACUCAUACAAGGUACAGAAGAGAUCUGUUGUUUCAAGAAGUGUUAGGAAUGGACAGGCAAAGACUCGUCAACCCACAGCCCGUGCAGAGCAAUCCUGAGCAGCCUGGAUCUACAAGGGAACUUCCUCCGCAGUAAUUUCGAGUUUAACCAUGGCAUUAUAUCAUGAUCUACUAUUCCACUGCCUUCAUAAAUUCAGGAGGUCCCUGGGAGAUCUCUUCCUUGCCUUGCGACCAUGCCUGUGGGACAUGCUGCUGUUCCUCCCUUGACACUAAUUCCACUGACAUCAGGGGACAUCCACACAGAAUAGCACCAGGAUACAAGCUCCACAUCAAGAGAAAUAAAGACUGUAUGAAUGAUCUCUUUUCUUACCCCUGCCUUCCUGUUUAAGCCAUGGAGAGCUUUCCUUCAUCAUUGCCUUUACUUCUGAAUGUCAGAACAGGCUGUGGGACUGUCUGCCACCCCCUAGAGCAGGAGGCUACAAGAAAGGUUCCCCAGUGAACAUCCCAGGCUUCGAUCCAACUGCUGAAUUAGGACAGAAGAGGAAAGACUUGUCUCUACCUGCUGCUGUGAGGAUUCACUUGUUCACAUUUUUCUUCCCUUCCGGAAAGAAAGACUGCAGAAAAAUUCCUCCUCCCUUCUUUUUGUUCUCCCUAGUUUUUUAUUCAGAAACUAGGUUGAAAAUUUGGGUCUGGCUGGUGCAAGAUCAGACUUUCCAGUCCUUUGUUGCUCCACUAGCACCAAUUACCCAGGAGCAACAAAAAUCUCAGUCAUCAUCUGCUGCCAGAAAGAGGUGAUUGCUGAA